CCCUUAGAUGUUCUGGGCUGCACGCGCGCUACACUGACACGUUCAACGAGUUGUUGCCUGGACCGAGAGGUUUGGGAAAUCUUUUGAAAUCGUGUCGUGAUAGGGAUAGAUUAUUGCAAUUAUUAAUCUUCAACGAGGAAUUCCUAGUAAACGCAAGUCAUCAGCUUGCAUUGAUUACGUCCCUGCCCUUUGUACACACCGCCCGUCGCACCUACCGAUUGAAUGGUCCGGUGAAAUCUCGGGACGGCGGCUUGGUCGCUUGCGUCCGACUGCUGAAACUUGAUUAAACCAUAUCAUUUAGAGGAAGGUGAAGUCGUAACA
rnacentral:rRNA from 1 species